GUCCUGAUAGCUUAUCAAGCAUUGGCCUUGUAAGCCAAAGAAUGCAGCUCAUCUGCUGCUCCGGACC
rnacentral:tRNA from 1 species